UUUUCUCAGGACGGUAAAGUCCGUGAAGCGUCGCUGUUACUCCGAGGAGAGAUUAGUCGGUAGAGGGGUGCAAAAAUGCAGAGUAAUAAAACUUUUAACUUGGAGAAGCAAAACCAUACUCCAAGAAAGCAUCAUCAACAUCACCACCAGCAGCAGCAACAGCAGCGGCCGCCGCCACCGCCAAUACCUGCAGAUGGGCAACAGGCCAGCAGCCAAAAUGAAGGCUUGAGUAUUGACCUGAAGAAUUUUAGGAAACCAGGAGAGAAGACCUUCACCCAACGAAGCUGUCUCUUUGUGGGAAAUCUUCCUCCCGACAUCACCGAGGAAGAAAUGAGGAAACUAUCUGAGAAAUAUGGAAAAGCAGGCGAAGUCUUCAUUCAUAAGGAUAAAGGAUUUGGCUUUAUCCGCUUGGAAACAUGAACCCUAGCGGAGAUUGCCAACGUGGAGCUGGACAACAUGCCACUCCGUGAGAGCAGCUGCGUGUGCGCGUUGCCUACCGUAAUGCACCCCUUCCAGUUCCAAAGCUUCCUCAGUGUGUGUCCAACGAACUGCUGGAAGAAGCCUUUUCUGUGUUUGGCCGGUGGAGAGGGCUGUAGUGAUUGUGGAUGAUGGAGGAAGGCCCUCGGGAAAAGGCAUCGCUGAGUUCUCAGGGAACCCAGCUGCUCGGAAAGCUCUGGACAGAUGCAGUGGAGGCUCCUUCCUGCUAACCACAUUUCCUCGUCCUGUGACUGUGGAGCCCUGGGACCAGUUAGAUGAUGAAAAGGGACUUCCAGAGAAGCUGGUUAUAAACAACCAGCAAUUUCACAAGGAACGAGAGCAGCCGCCCAGAUUUGCACAGCCUGGCUCCUUCUAGUAUGAGUGUGCCAUGGGCUGGAAGGCACUCGCUGAGAUGGAGAAGCGGCAGCAGGACCAGGUGGAACUCAGUGGGACGGAGAAGCGGCAGCAGGACCAGGUAGAACUCAGUGGGACGGAGAAGCAGCAGCAGGACCAGGUGGAACUCGCUGAAAUGGAGAAGCGGCAGCAGGACCAGGUGGAACUCGCUGAGGUGGAGAAGCGGCAGCAGGACCAGGUGGAACUCACUGGGAUGGAGAAGUGGCAGCAGGACCAG